GCGGGUGUAGCUUAGCUUGGUCUAUAGCGCAGGACUCAUAUGCUUAUGAGUGAUGAGCCGUUAGGCGAUGAUAUUUCAUGCGCGCUAGAAAUCCUGAGGUCGGGGGCUCGAAUCCCCUCACCCGCA
rnacentral:tRNA from 1 species